GGGGGUAGCCGGCAGCCGCUGACGCUGAGGGAUGGGGUGGCCGGCUCGUCCUCGUCUACUACUCCGCCAGACCGUGAGACCGCCGUGCAAACCGUGACGCCGUGAGAUUGCCUGUUCGCCACUCUGUCGAGGUAAAUUGUGAUUUUUGAUUUGUGAAUUAAUAUGAAAAUAUAUAUUUAAUUUUCUGAAUUGUGAAUUGUGAAUUUUGAUGUUGUGAUUCUAUUUAUUGAUUUAACGAAUUGUCAAUGUGAUUUUUUUUAUUACACGUUAGUUUGACAUUUAAGAAGAAUAAAAGAUGGAUAAGAAAGGAAAAGGAAAGUGAGCAGCACAAAGAGUUAAAAAUAGUAACCUUGUGAAAUGUGAUUAUCGACAGAGGUAGAUUUAUUUAUUGACAACAUAUUUUGUUAUACUGUUGUUAUGUCACUAAAUUUGAAGUGCUUUUGGAGCAGGGGUUCUAAACAAAAUUAAAAAAUCAUUUCAAAAAUUGAAAGACAGGCAAGUGCAAUGGCCUAGAUCUCCUAAAGUACCUAGGCGCAAUUGAAACAUGUUUUUGGUUUGACUUUACAACUAUGUCUUUAGGUCAAUAUAUCCAUCUCAAUCAUCAUUUUACUAAUAUUUUGUUGAUUUUGAUUGCAGAGGUCGAUAGCAAGUUUUUCAUAUAUCUAUCAUCUUUGCACUAUUCUCUCCUCCUCUAUCUAUAGCGUUGAAUCUUCAUUUCAAUUUAAAUGUUAGACUUGGUAUAAUUGUAUCCUCAGAUUAUCAUGUAACUGAGAAAAUAUUGUUUUACACUUAGCCAUACACUUGUCCCUUCGAAUCGACUAGCAGCGGGAAAAUAUAACAUAAAGAUAAAAUUCAGUGGUGUCACAUCACCCUCAGAGGGAUAACAGCAGAUCACUUCAAAUUUGUCAUUUUACUCACAUGAAAAGAUAGCAGCAUGACUAUGAAUGGUACUCAACAAGACAUAC
rnacentral:lncRNA from 1 species